rnacentral:rRNA from 1 species
GACGAACGCUGGCGGCGCGCCUAACACAUGCAAGUCGAACGAGCGAGAGAGAGCUUGCUUUCUCAAGCGAGUGGCGAACGGGUGAGUAACGCGUGAGGAACCUGCCUCAAAGAGGGGGACAGCAGUUGGAAACGACUGCUAAUACCGCAUAAGCCCACGACCCGGCAUCGGGUAGAGGGAAAAGGAGCAAUCCGCUUUGAGAUGGCCUCGCGUCCGAUUAGCUAGUUGGUGAGGUAAUGGCCCACCAAGGCGACGAUCGGUAGCCGGACUGAGAGGUUGAACGGCCACAUUGGGACUGAGACACGGCCCAGACUCCUACGGGAGGCAGCAGUGGGGAAUAUUGCACAAUGGGGGAAACCCUGAUGCAGCGACGCCGCGUGGAGGAAGAAGGUCUUCGGAUUGUAAACUCCUGUUGUUGAGGAAGAUAAUGACGGUACUCAACAAGGAAGUGACGGCUAACUACGUGCCAGCAGCCGCGGUAAAACGUAGGUCACAAGCGUUGUCCGGAAUUACUGGGUGUAAAGGGAGCGCAGGCGGGAAGACAAGUUGGAAGUGAAAUCCAUGGGCUCAACCCAUGAAUUGCUUUCAAAACUGUUUUUCUUGAGUAGUGCAGAGGUAGGCGGAAUUCCCGGUGUAGCGGUGGAAUGCAUAGAUAUCGGGAGGAACACCAGUGGCGAAGGCGGCCUACUGGGCACCAACUGACGCUGAGGCUCGAAAGUGUGGGUAGCAAACAGGAUUAGAUACCCUGGUAGUCCACACUGUAAA